AUUGAACGCUGGCGGCAUGCCUUACACAUGCAAGUCGAACGGCAGCACGGGAGCAAUCCUGGUGGCGAGUGGCGAACGGGUGAGUAAUACAUCGGAACGUGCCCAGUAGUGGGGGAUAACCCGGCGAAAGCCGGACUAAUACCGCAUACGACCUACGGGUGAAAGCAGGGGAUCGCAAGACCUUGCGCUAUCGGAGCGGCCGAUGUCAGAUUAGCUAGUUGGUUGGGAAAGGCUGACCAAGGCAUCGAUCGGUAGCUGGUCUGAGAGGAUGAUCAGCCACACUGGGACUGAGACACGGCCCAGACUCCUACGGGAGGC
rnacentral:rRNA from 1 species